rnacentral:rRNA from 1 species
AGCGAACGCUGGCGGCAGGCUUAACACAUGCAAGUCGAACGGGCACUUCGGUGUCAGUGGCAGACGGGUGAGUAACACGUGGGAACGUACCUUUUGGUUCGGAACAACUGAGGGAAACUUCAGCUAAUACCGGAUAAGCCCUCACGGGGAAAGAUUUAUCGCCGAAAGAUCGGCCCGCGUCUGAUUAGCUAGUUGGUAGGGUAACGGCCUACCAAGGCGACGAUCAGUAGCUGGUCUGAGAGGAUGAUCAGCCACAUUGGGACUGAGACACGGCCCAAACGCCUACGGGAGGCAGCAGUGGGGAAUAUUGGACAAUGGGGGCAACCCUGACCCAGCCAUGCCGCGUGAGUGAUGAAGGCCCUAGGGUUGUAAAGCUCUUUUGUGCGGGAAGAUAAUGACGGUACCGCAAGAAUAAGCCCCGGCUAACUUCGUGCCAGCCGCCGCGGUAA